UCCGGUAUGGUCUAGUGGCUAGUAUUCCUGGUUUUCACCCAGGCCAACCGGGUUCGAUUCCCCGUACCGGAA
rfam:Lingula anatina scaffold1019, whole genome shotgun sequence.